rnacentral:rRNA from 1 species
GAGUAGCGAUAAUUGAUGUGAGAAUCAUCAACGCCGAAAACCCAAGUUUCCUACGCAUGCUCGUCACGUAGGGUUAGUCGGGUCUAAGCAAAGUCCGAAAGGGGUAUGCGAUGGAAAAUUGGUUAAUAUUCCAAUACCAAUUAUUAUGUGCGAUGGAAGGACGCUUAAAGUUAGUGGAGCUAGCGGAUGGAAGUGCUAGUCUAAGGGUGUAGGUUGAGUUAUAGGCAAAUCCGUAACUCUUUAUCCGAGACCUAAAAGGCUCAUGACGCUCUUCGGAGUAGAUUGAGAAUCCAUGAUACUAUCGAGCCAAGAAAAGUUUCUAAGUUUAGUAAUAAUUGCCCGUACCGUAAACCGACACAGGUGGGUGGGAUGAGUAUUCUAAGGCGCGUGGAAGAACUCUCUUUAAGGAACUCUGCAAAAUAGCACCGUAUCUUCGGUAUAAGGUGUGCCUAACUUUGUAUUAAGAUUCACUCCCAAAGCA